UACGUAGGGGGCGAGCGUUGUCCGGAAUCAUUGGGCGUAAAGAGCUCGUAGGCGGUUCAGUAAGUCAGGUGUGAAAGCCCCGGGCUCAACCUGGGAAUUGCAUUUGAGACUGCAUAGCUAGGGUGCGGAAGAGGGAAGCGGAAUUUCCGGUGUAGCGGUGAAAUGCGUAGAUAUCGGAAGGAACACCAGUGGCGAAAGCGGCUUCCUGGUCCAGCACCGACGUUCAGGCACGAAAGCGUGGGGAGCAAACAGG
rnacentral:rRNA from 1 species